rnacentral:rRNA from 1 species
UACGAAGGGGGCUAGCGUUGUUCGGAAUCACUGGGCGUAAAGCGCACGUAGGCGGUUCGUUAAGUCGGGGGUGAAAUCCCAGGGCUCAACCCUGGAACUGCCUUCGAUACUGGCGAUCUUCGAGUCCGGGAGAGGUGAGUGGAACUCCGAGUGUAGAGGUGAAAUUCGUAGAUAUUCGGAAGAACACCAGUGGCGAAGGCGGCUCACUGGCCCGGUACUGACGCUGAGGUGCGAAAGCGUGGGGAGCAAACAGG